GCUAGGAAAUGACAGUGAUUCACCGUAGAGAGAGAGGGGGAAGAAUUACAGUCAGUUUCAGCUCAGAUGAGUGGAUUGUUUCCUACACCGAUAUAAUCAACAAAUGAGUUUUAAAAACAUUUCAGAAGCCCUAUAUUAAGGUUCUGACUUUGGACUUCAAGCAGGUCAACGGUGUCAACUGUGUGUUUUGCUGUAGUAUCAAUAUAUAAACAUACAGAUCUACUAAUAACGUAAAUACACAAUCCUAUAGAACAUCAUGAGGGGAAAGGAGGAGGAGUCAACGUAUUGGGGGGAGGGGCCACGAGCUGGAAGCAUCAGUAAAACUCAGUCGUUGUCUCUAGAAGACUCAGAUGUAUACAGAGUGGUUUCACUUCUUCUGUUGGUGUGUUGUGGUAGUAGAUGUUUCUCCUACUGGUGUUGUGGUAGUAGAUGUUUCUCCUACUGGUGUUGUGGUAGUAGAUGUUUCUCCUACUGGUGUUGUGGUACUAGAUGUUUCUCCUACUGGUGUUGUGGUACUAGAUGUUUCUCCUACUGGUGUUGUGGUACUAGAUGUUUCUCCUACUGGUGUUGUGGUAGUAGAUGUUUCUCCUACUGGUGUUGUGGUAGUAGAUGUUUCUCCUACUGGUGUUGUGGUAGUAGAUGUUUCUCCUACUGGUGUUGUGGAACUAAAUGUUUCUCCUACUGGUGUUGUGGUACUAGAUGUUUCUCCUACUGGUGUUGUGGUAGUAGAUGUUUCUCCUACUGGUGUUGUGGUACUAGAUGUUUCUCCUACUGGUGUUGUGGUAGUAGAUGUUUCUCCUACUGGUGUUGUGGUACUAGAAGUUUCCGUAAUAUAAUCAAUGAUAAAAUGGUGAGCUGAGUAGACAGGCGAGAAAAAAAUGUUUCUUUCACAAAUGUUUUUUAAAGGCAUCUUUGCAAACACAUCAAUUUCACCAUCUAGUCCACAUCCCAAAUGCCCCCCCCCCUAUUCCCUUUAAUAGUGCACUACUUUUGACCAGAGCCCUUUGGACCCUAUUCCCU
ensembl:lncRNA